UACGUAGGGUGCGAGCGUUAAUCGGAAUUACUGGGCGUAAAGCGUGCGCAGGCGGUUCGUUGUGUCUGUGGUGAAAGCCCCGGGCUUAACCUGGGAAUGGCCAUGGAAACUGGCGAGCUGGAGUGUGGCAGAGGGGGGUGGAAUUCCGCGUGUAGCAGUGAAAUGCGUAGAGAUCCGGAGGAACACCGAAGGCGAAGGCAGUGUCCUGGCGGGUGACUGACGCUGAGGUGCGAAAGCUAGGGGAGCGAACGGG
rnacentral:rRNA from 1 species